GAUCAUGGGCUCAGAUUGAACGCUGGCGGCAUGCUUUACACAUGCAAGUCGAACGGUAACGAGGGAGCUUGCUCCGCUGACGAGUGGCGAACGGGUGAGUAAUGCAUCGGAACGUGCCCCAGUCGUGGGGGAUAACGUAGCGAAAGUUACGCUAAUACCGCAUACGUCCUGAGGGAGAAAGCGGGGGACCGUAAGGCCUCGCGCGAUUGGAGCGGCCGAUGUCGGAUUAGCUAGUUGGUGGGGUAAAGGCCUACCAAGGCGACGAUCCGUAGCGGGUCUGAGAGGAUGAUCCGCCACACUGGGACUGAGACACGGCCCAGACUCCUACGGGAGGCAGCAGUGGGGAAUUUUGGACAAUGGGGGCAACCCUGAUCCAGCCAUGCCGCGUGAGUGAAGAAGGCCUUCGGGUUGUAAAGCUCUUUCAGACGGAAAGAAAACGCAUCGGUGAAUACCCCGGUGUGGAUGACGGUACCGUAAGAAGAAGCACCGGCUAACUACGUG
rnacentral:rRNA from 1 species